GGUCUCUUCUUCUCCGUCGCAUACUUUCUUCUUAACCGGUGGCGUGAAAAGAUCCGAACCUCUACACCUCUCCAUGUCCUCACAAUCUCCGAGAUUCUUGCUCUAGUUUCCCUCAUUGCUUGCCUUAUCUACCUUACGGCUUUCUUUGGCGUUGCCUUCAUCCUUCAUUACGAUGAAGAAGAAGAUGAAGUUGCUGACAUUGCUGCGAAAACCACCAAAGUCAUGCCAAAUCUACCGGAGGAAAUCCUUGUCCAAAAAGUUUUGUCCAUGGAAGAUGAGGAGGUUGUUGGUGCAGUGGUGUCUGGAUCAAUUCCAUCUUACUCGCUUGAAUCGAAGCUUGGAGAUUGCCGACGUGCUGCUGUGAUUAGGAACCAAGCUGUGGAGAGAGUUACUGGAAGGUCACUUGAAGGUUUACCAAUGGAAGGUUUUGAUUAUGAUUCUAUAUUAGGACAAUGUUGCGAGAUGCCAAUAGGGUUUGUUCAGAUUCCGGUGGGUGUUGCCGGUCCUUUGUUGCUCGAUGGUAAAGAAUACACCGUGCC
rnacentral:lncRNA from 1 species